rnacentral:rRNA from 1 species
UAGAGUUUGAUCCUGGCUCAGGACGAACGCUGGCGGCGUGCUUAACACAUGCAAGUCACGGGGGCUCGCAAGAGCAACCGGCGAACGGGUGCGUAACACGUGAGCAAUCUGCCGAUUUCUGGGGGAUAGCCGGCCCAACGGCCGGGUAAUACCGCAUACGUUCUCGAGGGGGAGUCCUCUUGGGAAGAAACCUCCGGGGGAAAUCGAGGAGCUCGCGGCCUAUCAGCUAGUUGCGGUGUAAUGGGCCACCAAGGCUAUGACGGGUAGCUGGUCUGAGAGGAUGGCCAGCCACAUUGGGACUGAGAGACGGCCCAGACUCCUACGGGAGGCAGCAGUGGGGAAUCUUGCGCAAUGGCCGAAAGGCUGACGCAGCGACGCCGCGUGUGGGAUGAAGCAUUUCGGUGUGUAAACCACUGUUGCCCGGGACGAACAUCCUCUUUCGAGAGGACUGACGGUACCGGGUGAGGAAGCACCGGCUAACUCCGUGCCAGCAGCCGCGGUAAUACGGAGGGUGCGAGCGUUGUCCGGAAUCACUGGGCGUAAAGGGCGCGUAGGUGGCCUGUGGAAGUCUGCGGUGAAAGCCCGGCGCUCAACGCCGGGUCGGCCGUGGAUACUCUCGGGCUUGAGCUUACUGGAGGCAGAUGGAAUUCCGGGUGUAGCGGUGGAAUGCGUAGAGAUCCGGAAGAACACCGGUGGCGAAGGCGGUCUGCUGGGGUAAUGCUGACACUGAUGCGCGACAGCGUGGGGAGCAAACAGGAUUAGAUACCCUGGUAGUCCACGCCGUAAACGAUGGGCACUAGGUGCUUGGGGGAGCGACCCCCUGAGUGCCGUCGCUAACGCAUUAAGUGCCCCGCCUGGGGAGUACGGCCGCAAGGCUGAAACUCAAAGGAAUUGACGGGGGCCCGCACAAGCGGUGGAGCAUGUGGUUUAAUUCGACGCAACGCGAAGAACCUUACCUAGGCUUGACAUGCAUGGGAAAGCCCUGAGAAACCAGGGCCCCUCUUCGGAGUCCAUGCACAGGUGCUGCAUGGCUGUCGUCAGCUCGUGUCGUGAGAUGUUGGGUUAAGUCCCGCAACGAGCGCAACCCCCGUUCCCAGUUGCCAGCGCGUAAUGGCGGGGACUCUGGGAAGACUGCCGGUGCCAAACCGGAGGAAGGUGGGGAUGACGUCAAGUCAUCAUGGUCCUUACGUCUAGGGCUACACACGUGCUACAAUGGCGGGGACAGAGGGCUGCGAGCCGGCAACGGCAAGCCAAUCCCGUAAACCCCGCCUCAGUUCGGAUUGUCGUCUGCAACCCGACGGCAUGAAGCUGGAAUCGCUAGUAAUCGUGGAUCAGCUACGCCACGGCGAAUACGUUCCCGGGCCUUGUACACACCGCCCGUCACGCCAUGGAAGCUGUGAGCGCCCGAAGUCCGUGUCGAAACCCGGGGCAACCUGGGAUCAAGCGGCCGAAGGCGAGCGCAGUGACUGGGGCGAAGUCGUAACAAGGUAGCCGUAGGGGAACCUGCGGCUGGAUCACCUCCUUA